rnacentral:rRNA from 1 species
GGGAAACUUACCAGGUCCAGACAUAGUGAGGAUUGACAGAUUGAGAGCUCUUUCUUGAUUCUAUGGGAGGUGGUGCAUGGCCGUUCUUAGUUGGUGGAGUGAUUUGUCUGGUUAAUUCCGUUAACGAACGAGACCCCCGCCUGCUAAAUAGGUCCGUGAAUGAAUUUCAUUGACGAGAUCUUCUUAGAGGGACUUUUGGUGACUAACCAAAGGAAGUUGGGGGCAAUAA